CUUCUUCUUUUAUUUCUCCUCUUUCUCUUUUUAUUCUUUCUUCUUCAUUCUUCUCUAUUCUUCCGUCCAACGCCUAGCACGAACAGAGAGAGAGAGAUGAGAGUAAGAGAGAGACCGAGAGAGAUCGAGAGAUUGAGAGAGAUAAUGAAAGGGAGUGGGAUGCUGUCGGAGAGAGAGAGAGUGGACUAAAGAGAGAUCAAGAGACAGAGAGAGACCGAUCUGGAGAAGAGAAAACCAAAGGGCGAUCCGGUGACCUAGGUCCGACUUUCGGCGAGGCAGAGACGGUCCGGUGGUUCCUGUGGAGCAUGGUUGUCGCCGGUGAAGGCACUAGGAGUCGGAAAUCCAGCGUUUUCUCAGUACCAAACAAGGAGGAACUCAUUUUGGAUGACACAGUAAGACGAAGUCAUUUCUUUGUAAUGGCGUAGACCUCGCUGAGAGCAAUAAAUCGUUGUAAACUAACCAAACCUUUAUAUUGUAUAGUAUGUCUCUUUGUUGGAAUUCAUGGCAUUGUAAAUAAUUAUUAAUAGGUAUGAAUAAUAAAAUUGGAAGUUACAAUC